UCCCUCAUGGUCCAGUGGUCAGGAUUCCAUGUUCUCAUCAUGGAAGGCCCAGGAUCAAUCCCUGGUUGGGGAG